GAGAGACCUUUUACCUCUACCAGUGCUCAGACAAAGGGGGUGAUCCUCAGACUGCCUAGACUGCACUGUGUCUCCAACAAAUCUCAGACACCGCACUUUGGUAAUACCUCCCUUCCAGGGAGAAUACUGGCUCACCUGUUUGCAAUGCCUUUGGAUCUCGGGAAACAAGAACAGUUGAACAACUGUAAACAUAUUAUAUGCAGAACAAAAAAGAAAAGUGGUCAAGAAUUAGGUGAAGAGCAAGAUGUUAAGAAUGCCGUUGUUUUAUCUUCAAGGACAGGUGAAAUUCAUGGGACUUCUGUGAAGAUGCAGAGAAAUACUAUCACCACAGAGGAAUUACGAAAUCUGCAAGAAUGAGAUGACAUUUCAUAUAUGCAUUGCAUAUCCUUGCAUGUUUAUUAGUUAGCUUAAAUUUUAAGUGAGAAAUUCACAACCCAAAGUUCUGAAAACCAGAAUGUAAACAAAUAUUUCUCUUUAUCUCUCUUCCCCCAACCAUGUAAUUCUCCUCAUAGUAAAAACUUAUAUGUCUAAUUUCUUAUGUUUAUUUCUAAAAUUAUAAAUAUACAAGUAAACAGG